rnacentral:rRNA from 1 species
UACGGAGGGUGCGAGCGUUGUCCGGAAUCACUGGGCGUAAAGGGCGCGUAGGCGGCCUGAUAAGUAGGGGGUGAAAUCCUGCGGCUUAACCGCAGGGCUGCCUUCUAAACUGUCGGGCUCGAGCACAGUAGAGGCAGGUGGAAUUCCCGGUGUAGCGGUGGAAUGCGUAGAGAUCGGGAAGAACAUCAGUGGCGAAGGCGGCCUGCUGGGCUGUUGCUGACGCUGAGGAGCGAAAGCGUGGGGAGCGAACAGG